CUUAUUGUGAAUUUGUGAUUAUGAGGUAAUCAUUGAUAAAAAUUUGUUAAGGAGUUGCUUAAUGUUUUCUUAUAAGCUUACUAUAAUCUGUAUGUGUGAAAGUCGAAUAUAUAUGUAUUAUAUUCUGAAAAUAAUAUUUGAAUAGUCGAUUAAUGUUUAGUUUAAAAUUUGUUGAAUUAAAGCUCAAGAGCAUAGGGGGCAAUUUCGAAUAAGGGAA
rnacentral:lncRNA from 1 species